UCAAGCAACUAUAGUGUCACUGGUGUAGUUUUCUCCGUUGACACUGUGGUUGCAUGACU
rnacentral:pre_miRNA from 1 species